AGUGAACGCUGGCGGUAGGCCUAACACAUGCAAGUCGAACGGCAGCACCGGAGAGCUUGCUCUCUGGGUGGCGAGUGGCGGACGGGUGAGGAAUACAUCGGAAUCUGCCCAGUCGUGGGGGAUAACGUAGGGAAACUUACGCUAAUACCGCAUACGACCUUCGGGGGAAAGAGGGGGAUCGCAAGACCUCUCGCGAUUGGAUGAGCCGAUGUCGGAUUAGCUAGUUGGCGGGGUAAUGGCCCACCAAGGCGACGAUCCGUAGCUGGUCUGAGAGGAUGAUCAGCCACACUGGAACUGAGACACGGUCCAGACUCCUACGGGAGGCAGCAGUGGGGAAUAUUGGACAAUGGGCGCAAGCCUGAUCCAGCCAUACCGCGUGGGUGAAGAAGGCCUUCGGGUUGUAAAGCCCUUUUGUUGGGAAAGAAAUCUUUCAGGCUAAUACCCUGGGAGGAUGACGGUACCCAAAGAAUAAGCACCGGCUAACUUCGUG
rnacentral:rRNA from 1 species